ensembl:lncRNA
UGGAUUUCCAUGCUACUAUGAUGUUGCCAAUACGUCAAAAAAUAUUUAUCAAACGACAGUGCCCCCCCGCCGAUGAUCCAAUGCCCCUCCAGUAGAUCUGCUCUGACGCCGACUCUGAACAAGUGGAAGGACCAGGAAGUGAUCUUCCUCAGCUAAAGCGACGCUGCGACACAAUGGCAUCUCUUGUCCAUGACUCCAUACUGAAUGACGGCAACAGGAAUUCAUAGGGUCAUUAUGCAUCCUACGAUGGAAUGUGCAAAGAAAAGUCAAAAUCUUUAUGUGGUUUAAACAAGUAAAUAAUAAAGAAGAGAUAUAAAUAAAACAUACUGAUGGGACAACUUAUAUGACAAAUUUAUGAAAAAAAAAGGAAAAUCUAUCUGCAGGCAUGACUCAGUAAAACAUUUGGUUGUAUUCUGAAUGGGAAGAAGGAAAUCAUGCAUUUUCUAUUCAAUUUGUAAUUUCAGGGGCAUGUUGAACUGUCAUCUUUUACUGGUCGUUCCAAACCUAUAUGAGACAAACGAUCACAGAAGAAGAUAUUUAGAAGAAUAUUGCAGCUGUUUUUGUCUAUAUAAAACAUAAACUGACAGAGUUGUCUCAAAAAUCCAUUUGGAUGUUGAUGCUUGGUUCUGACAGUGACUCUUUGAACCUCUGCUUGCACUUUAUCCUUUACUAAUAGACCCUUUAAACAGUUUCCUUCAAGAACUUUCUCCUGAAAAAAUAACCACUUUAAUUCUGUCAUUCUGCUUUCAUCUCUUCUGCAGUCACAUGACAUCAGAUCCUUUCCUCUGCCUCUCCGCUGCAGUAAAAUCCUCUGAUUUGUGUCUUACCAGGCAAGUUUAGAUGUUGAUACUCUGUCCCAUUUUUCCUUUUCCCUCCAUACCUACACUGCCACAAUGGGACAGUUUUUUCCAGUUAUUUAUUUAAUUUUUAAACAGUGUUCAGAGUUAUCUAAAAAAAUAAGUAAUAAGAAUGCCAUACCUGAUAUAUCUAAUUUUCUUAUAACAUGACAUGUAUUAAAAAAUAUGGUUCUGACUCUUCCUUGUCAUAUUGUUUAACUUAUUUUGUUUAAAUGUAAUGUCACUACAUGUACAUAUAUUAUGUAUUUUGGUCAAUAAACACUACUAAAACUGAAUUCCAAUCAAAUAUGUGAGUGACUUUAUGUGUUAAUUUGUAGAAUAAACAGGAUUGACACUUUGACCAAUAAGGUCCAUUAACUAAUUAACUAUUUAAUUAUUUAUUUGGUUGCUGUAUAAGGAUUUUUAGACAUACUUGAAAUUAUAUAAUUCAAUCUGUAUGCCAG